rnacentral:rRNA from 1 species
GACGAACGCUGGCGGCGUGCUUAACACAUGCAAGUCGAACGGAAAGGCCCUGCUUUUGUGGGGUGCUAGAGUGGCGAACGGGUGAGUAACACGUGAGUAACCUGCCCUUGACUUUGGGAUAACUUCAGGAAACUGGGGCUAAUACCGGAUAGGAGCUCCUGCUGCAUGGUGGGGGUUGGAAAGUUUCGGCGGUUGGGGAUGGACUCGCGGCUUAUCAGCUUGUUGGUGGGGUAGUGGCUUACCAAGGCUUUGACGGGUAGCCGGCCUGAGAGGGUGACCGGCCACAUUGGGACUGAGGUACGGCCCAGACUCCUACGGGAGGCAGCAGUGGGGAAUAUUGCACAAUGGGCGGAAGCCUGAUGCAGCAACGCCGCGUGCGGGAUGACGGCCUUCGGGUUGUAAACCGCUUUCGCCUGUGACGAAGCGUGGGUGACGGUAAUGGGUAAAGAAGCACCGGCUAACUACGUG